rnacentral:rRNA from 1 species
CCUACGGGUGGCAGCAGUGGGGAAUAUUGCACAAUGGGGGGAACCCUGAUGCAGCAAUGCCGCGUGGGUGAAGAAGCCCUUCGGUGUGUAAAGCUCUGUCAGCAGGGAAGAAAAUGACAGUACCUGGACAAGAAGCCCCGGCUAACUACGUGCCAGCAGCCGCGGUAAUACGUAGGGGGCAAGCGUUAUCCGGAUUUACUGGGUGUAAAGGGAGCGUAGGCGGGUGGGCAAGUCAGAAGUGAAAGUCCGGGGCCCAACCCCGGGAGUGCAUUUGAAACUGCCAAGCUGGAGUGCCGGAGAGGUAAGCGGAAUUCCUAGUGUAGCGGUGAAAUGCGUAGAGAUUAGGAGGAACACCAGUGGCGAAGGCGGCUUACUGGACGGUAACUGACGCUGAGGCUCGAAAGCGUGGGGAGCAAACAGGAGUAGAUACCCCAGUAGUC